rnacentral:rRNA from 1 species
CAGUCGCCGCGGUAAUACGAACCGUCCGAACGUUAUUCGGAAUUACUGGGCGUAAAGGGUGCGUAGGCGGUUUCGUAAGUCUUAUGUGAAAUCUAUGGGCUCAACCCAUAGUCUGCAUGGGAAACUGCGAGGCUUGAGGAUGGGAGAGGUGAGUGGAAUUUCCGGUGUAGCGGUGAAAUGCGUAGAUAUCGGAAGGAACACCUGUGGCGAAAGCGGCUCACUGGACCAUUUCUGACGCUGAUGCACGAAAGCUAGGGGAGCAAACAGGAUUAGAUACCCCCGUAGUCCCUGUCUCUUAUAC